rnacentral:rRNA from 1 species
UACGGGGGGGGCAAGCGUUGUUCGGAAUUACUGGGCGUAAAGGGCUCGUAGGUGGCCAACUAAGUCAGACGUGAAAUCCCCCGGCUUAACCGGGGAACUGCGUCUGAUACUGGAUGGCUUGAGUUCGGGAGAGGGAUGCGGAAUUCCAGGUGUAGCGGUGAAAUGCGUAGAUAUCUGGAGGAAUACCGGUGGCGAAGGCGGCAUCCUGGACCGAGAUUGACACUGAUGAGCGAAAGCCAGGGGAGCAAACGGG